rnacentral:rRNA from 1 species
UUCCGGUUGAUCCUGCCGGACCUGACUGCUAUCGGAUUGAUACUAAGCCAUGCGAGUCAUUGUAGUAAUACAAGGCAGACGGCUCAGUAACGCGUAGUCAACCUAACCUAUGGACGGGGAUAACCUCGGGAAACUGAGAAUAAUACCCGAUAGAACAUUAUGCCUGGAAUGGUUUAUGUUUAAAAUAAUUUAUUGCCGUAGGAUGGGACUGCGGCCUAUCAGUUUGUUGGUGAGGUAAUGGCCCACCAAGACUAUUACAGGUACGGGCUCUGAGAGGAGUAGCCCGGAGAUGGGUACUGAGACACGGACCCAGGCCCUAUGGGGCGCAGCAGGCGAGAAAACUUUGCAAUGUGCGAAAGCACGACAAGGUUAAUCCGAGUGGUUUCUGCUAAAGGAACCUUUUGCCAGUCCUAGAAACACUGGUGAAUAAGGGGUGGGCAAGUUCUGGUGUCAGCCGCCGCGGUAAAACCAGCACCUCAAGUGGUCAGGAUGAUUAUUGGGCCUAAAGCAUCCGUAGCCUGCUUUGUCAGUUUUCGGUUAAAUCCAUUCGCUCAACGAAUGGGCUGCCGGGAAUACUGCAAAGCUAGGGAGUGGGAGAGGUAGACGGUACUCGGUAGGAAGGGGUAAAAUCCUUUGAUCUAUUGAUGACCACCUGUGGCGAAGGCGGUCUACCAGAACACGUCCGACGGUGAGGGAUGAAAGCUGGGGGAGCAAACCGGAUUAGAUACCCGGGUAGUCCCAGCUGUAAACUAUGCAAACUCAGUGAUGCAUUGGCUUGAUGCCAAUGCAGUGCUGCAGGGAAGCCGUUAAGUUUG